UUAAAGUUGUUGNGGUUAAAAAGCUCGUAGUUGGANCNNGGCNUGCAGGGGGCGGUCCNUUAUUUGANGCGACUGCCCCAUUUGCNNGUGUUUNUNGGCGGAAUUCCUNGGGUGCUCUUCNCCGAGUGUCCUUGGAGGCCGCCAGGUUUACUUUGAAAAAAUUAGAGUGCUCCAAGCAGGCUCNACACGCCUGAAUAUUCGUGCAUGGAAUAAUGGAAUAGGACGUCGUUCCUAUUUUGUUGGUUUUAGGGAUUCGACGUAAUGAUUAAUAGGGACAGCCGGGGGCAUUAGUAUNCAGACGACAGAGGUGAAAUUCUUGGACCGUCUGNNGACUNACNACUGCGAAAGCAUUUGCCAAGAGUGUUUUCAUUAAUCAAGAACGAAAGUUAGAGGUUCGAAGGCGAUCAGAUACCGCCCUAGUUCUAACCAUAAACGAUGCCAGCUAGCGAUCNGCAGNNGUUUUUUUUGUAGGCNCUGCNGGAAGCUUCCGGGAAACCAAAGCNUUUGGGUUCCNGGGGAAGUAUGGUUGCAAAGCUGAAACUUAAAGGAAUUGACGGAAGGGCACCACCAGGCGUGGANCUUGCGGCUUAAUUUGACUCAACACUGGAAAUCUCACCAGGCCCGGACACCGGNAGGAUUGACAGAUUGAGAGCUCUUUCUCGAUUCGG
rnacentral:rRNA from 1 species